AUUUGAUCUAUUUUGUUCAUUUUAUCUGUCUAUUUAAUCUAUCUCAUGUCUCUUUUAUCUAUUUUUAUUUAGGUGUUUAGUUUUCUAUCUAACUGAUUUAAUCUAAUCUGAUAAUUUGUUCUGUUUUUAUCUAUCUAAUCGUUUAUUUUAUCUCUCUUAUCUAUCUAUCCUUCUUAAAGAACAAGCGCGUCUGGCCAAAAAAGGACCUGGCAGCAAGUACAAGAACAUUUUGCAGGCUGCAUUGAAAAAAAAAGGCUCAUAUGUCUGGCACGGGGGGUGGCCCUCCAACCCAAGACUUGACCACAGCAGAGGAGCUGGCCCUGGAGUUGAAUAAAGGCCCAGCAAGAGAGACUGGCCUCUUCAUACAAGGCUUGGCACGUCCUGUCAAAACUAUCAAUACAAGUUCUAUUGAAUAUGGCAGAGGGAAGGCACAUCUGA